UAGGUGACCAGCGUUGUCCGGAUUUACUGGGCGUAAAGAGCGCGCAGGCGGUCGUUCAAGUCGAGUGUGAAAGCCCCCGGCUCAACUGGGGAGGGUCAUUCGAUACUGAUCGACUGGAAGGCAGGAGAGGGAAGCGGAAUUCCCGGUGUAGUGGUGAAAUGCGUAGAUAUCGGGAGGAACACCAGUGGCGAAGGCGGCUUCCUGGCCUGUUCUUGACGCUGAGGCGCGAAAGCUAGGGGAGCAAACGGG
rnacentral:rRNA from 1 species